UCAAAGAGAGGUUAAAACGGGUAAAAAUUGGAACGAUAGAGAGAAGAUUAGCAUGGCCCUUGUGGAAGGAUGACACACAAAUCGAAAAAUGGUCCAAAUAUUU